rnacentral:rRNA from 1 species
AUUGAACGCUGGCGGCAGGCCUAACACAUGCAAGUCGAGCGGCAGCACAGAGAAACUUGUUUCUCGGGUGGCGAGCGGCGAACAAAUGAAUAAUACCUAAAAAAUUNCCCUAAUAUAAAANAUAACCAUUANAAACNAUAACUAAUACCACAUNAUAACUUCAACUCAAAAAAAAAAACCUUCACACCUCUCACAUCAAUAUAUACCCAAAUAAUAUUAUCUAAUUAAUNAAAUAAUAACUCACCAAAACAACAAUCCCUANCUNAUCUAANAAAAUAAUCANCCACACUAUAACUNAUACACANUCCANACUCCUACAAAAAACAACAAUAAAAAAUAUUACACAAUAUACACAACCCUAAUACANCCAUACCACAUAUAUAAAAAAACCCUUCAAAUUAUAAAACACUUUCAAUCAUAAAAAAAAUAAUAAUAUUAAUAACACUAUCAUUUAACAUUAACAACAAAAUAAACACCUNCUAACUCCAUUCCAUCANCCACUAUAAUACCNANANUNCUANCNUUAAUCUNAAUUACUNNNCAUAAANCCCAUCCANNUNUUUUNUUAANUCANAUNUNAAANCCCCCNCCUCAACCUCUUAAUACCAUUUCAAACUCCCAACCUANANUACUCUACACNCNCCUACAAUUUCANNUNUAUCAUUAUAAUUCUUACACAUCUUAAAAAAUACCCUUUUCUAAUNCUCCCCCCUGGACAGAUACUGCCACUCAGAUGCGAAAGCGUGGGGAGCAAAACAGGAUUAGAUACCCUGGUAGUCCACGCCGUAAACGAUGUCUACUUGGAGGUUGUGGCCUUGAGCCGUGGCUUUCGGAGCUAACGCGUUAAGUAGACCGCCUGGGGAGUACGGUCGCAAGAUUAAAACUCAAAUGAAUUGACGGGGGCCCGCACAAGCGGUGGAGCAUGUGGUUUAAUUCGAUGCAACGCGAAGAACCUUACCUACUCUUGACAUCCAGAGAAUCCUGCGGAGACGCGGGAGUGCCUUCGGGAACUCUGAGACAGGUGCUGCAUGGCUGUCGUCAGCUCGUGUUGUGAAAUGUUGGGUUAAGUCCCGCAACGAGCGCAACCCUUAUCCUUGUUUGCCAGCGAGUAAUGUCGGGAACUCCAGGGAGACUGCCGGUGAUAAACCGGAGGAAGGUGGGGACGACGUCAAGUCAUCAUGGCCCUUACGAGUAGGGCUACACACGUGCUACAAUGGCGCAUACAGAGGGCAGCGAACUUGCGAGAGUAAGCGAAUCCCAAAAAGUGCGUCGUAGUCCGGAUUGGAGUCUGCAACUCGACUCCAUGAAGUCGGAAUCGCUAGUAAUCGUGAAUCAGAAUGUCACGGUGAAUACGUUCCCGGGCCUUGUACACACCGCCCGUCACACCAUGGGAGUGGGCUGCAAAAGAAGCAGGUAGUAAAGCCUUCGGGAGGACGCUUGCCACUUUGUGGUU